CCCUAGUAGUCCACGCCCUAAACGAUGUCGACUGGGUGUUGGGGAAGUGAUUCCUCAGUGCCGAAGCUAACGCGUGAAGUCGACCGCCUGGGGAGUACGGCCGCAAGGUUAAAACUCAAAGGAAUUGACGGGGACCCGCACAAGCGGUGGAUGAUGUGGAUUAAUUCGAUGCAACGCGAACAACCUUACCUACCCUUGACAUGUCCGGAACCCUGCUGAGAGGCGGGGGUGCCCGAAAGGGAAUCGGAACACAGGUGCUGCAUGGCUGUCGUCAGCUCGUGUCGUGAGAUGUUGGGUUAAGUCCCGCAACGAGCGCAACCCUUGUCCCUAGUUGCUACGCAAGGGCACUCUAGGGAGACUGCCGGUGACAAACCGGAGGAAGGUGGGGAUGACGUCAAGUCCUCAUGGCCCUUAUGGGUAGGGCUUCACACGUCAUACAAUGGACGGUACAGAGGGUUGCCAAGCCGCGAGGUGGAGCCAAUCCCAGAAAGCCGUUCGUAGUCCGGAUCGCAAUCUGCAACUCGACUGCGUGAAGUCGGAAUCGCUAGUAAUCGCGGAUCAGCAUGCCACGGUGAAUACGUUCCCGGGUCUUGUACACACCGCCCGUCACACCAUGGGAGUGGGUUCUACCAGAAGUAGGUAGGCUAACCGCAAGGAGGCCGCUUACCACGGUAGGAUUCAUGACUGGGGUG
rnacentral:rRNA from 1 species